ensembl:snRNA U6 U6 spliceosomal RNA
GUGCUUGCUUCAGCAGCACAUAUUCUAAAAUUGGGAUGAUACAGAAAAGAUUAGCAUGGUCUUUGCACAAGUGUACACACCAUACAAAGAAUAGCAACUAUGU